rnacentral:lncRNA from 1 species
GUUGGUAAGUAUACGCCAAAUGAUGAAAUUAACGGGGACAUGGGAUGGAGACCUCCUAGUGUAAAACAAUGGACAUGUGUCUUAAGGCAUUGGGCAAGAUGUAGUGCCAUGACCAAUGACAGAAUAAAUUAUAAAGUUUUCAAAUGGUCACAUAAAAAUGCUGUAAAUAAUAAGAAAAACUAGUGUAAUAGAGUCAUGAAAAAAACUUAAAUAUUGUAACUUUGAUUUGUAUACUAGUAUUGAUAGUGUGCUGCAUAAAGAAAAUUGUUCUACAAAU